rnacentral:rRNA from 1 species
AGCAAUCUGCCUUUGGAUGGGGGAUAACAGCCGGAAACGACUGCUAAUACCGCAUGAUGCAGCGAGACCGCAUGAUUUUGCUGCCAAAGAUUUAUCGUCCAAAGAUGAGCUCGCGUCUGAUUAGCCAGUUGGCGGGGUAACGGCCCACCAAAGCGACGAUCAGUAGCCGGACUGAGAGGUUGAACGGCCACAUUGGGACUGAGACACGGCCCAGACUCCUACGGGAGGCAGCAG